rnacentral:rRNA from 1 species
CCUACGGGUGGCAGCAGUGGGGAAUAUUGCACAAUGGGGGAAACCCUGAUGCAGCGACGCCGCGUGAGUGAAGAAGUAUUUCGGUAUGUAAAGCUCUAUCAGCAGGGAAGAAAAUGAAGGUUACUGAGCAAAAAGCCCCGGCCAACUUCGUGCCAGCAGCCGCGGUAAUACGUAGGGGGCAAGCGUUAUUCGGAAUUACUGGGUGUAAAGGGGGCGGAGACGGGAGUGCAAGUCUGGAGUGAAAGGCGGGGGCCCAACCCCCGGACUGCUUUGGAAACUGUACGGCUGGAGUGCAGGAGAGGUAAGUGGAAUUCCUAGUGUAGCGGUGAAAUGCGUAGAUAUUAGGAGGAACACCAGUGGCGAAGGCGGCUUACUGGACUGUAACUGACGUUGAGGCUCGAAAGCGUGGGGAGCAAACAGGAUUAGAUACCCCAGUAGUC